AGGACGAACGCUGGCGGCGUGCUUAACACAUGCAAGUCGAGCGAGACUUCGGUCUAGCGGCGAACGGGUGAGUAACACGUGGGCAACCUGCCCCGAGCUCUGGGAUAACUCCGGGAAACCGGGGCUAAUACCGGAUACGACCCGAGAAGACAUCUUCUCGGGUGGAAAGUUUUUCGGCUCGGGAUGGGCCCGCGGCCUAUCAGCUUGUUGGUGGGGUAACGGCCUACCAAGGCGACGACGGGUAGCCGGCCUGAGAGGGCGACCGGCCACACUGGGACUGAGACACGGCCCAGACUCCUACGGGAGGCAGCAGUGGGGAAUAUUGCGCAAUGGGCGAAAGCCUGACGCAGCGACGCCGCGUGAGGGAUGAAGGCCUUCGGGUUGUAAACCUCUUUCAGCAGGGACGAAGCGAAAGUGACGGUACCUGCAGAAGAAGCACCGGCCAACUACGCGCCAGCAGCCGC
rnacentral:rRNA from 1 species